rnacentral:rRNA from 1 species
CUAGCGACUUCAGAGUUUUGAUCCUGGCUCAGGAUGAACGCUGGCGGCGUGCUUAACACAUGCAAGUCGAACGAAGCACUUUUAUUUGAUUUCUUCGGAAUGAAGAUUUUGUGACUGAGUGGCGGACGGGUGAGUAACGCGUGGGUAACCUACCUCAUACAGGGGGAUAACAGUUGGAAACGGCUGCUAAUACCGCAUAAGCGCACAGUAUCGCAUGAUACAGUGUGAAAAACUCCGGUGGUAUGAGAUGGACCCGCGUUGGAUUAGCUAGUUGGUGAGGUAACGGCCCACCAAGGCGCGAUCCAUAGCCGACCUGAGAGGGUGACCGGCCACAUUGGGACUGAGACACGGCCCAA